rnacentral:rRNA from 1 species
CCUACGGGAGGCAGCAGUGGGGAAUAUUGGUCAAUGGGCGUAAGCCUGAACCAGCCAAGUCGCGUGAGGGAUGAAGGUUCUAUGGAUCGUAAACCUCUUUUAUAAGGGAAUAAAGUGUGGGACGUGUCCUAUUUUGUCUAUACCUUAUGAAUAAGGAUCGGCUAACUCCGUGCCAGCAGCCGCGGUAAUACGGAGGAUCCGAGCGUUCUCCGGAUUUAUUGGGUUUAAAGGGUGCGUAGGCGGCCGUUUAAGUCAGCGGUGAAAGUCUGUGGCUCAACCAUAGAAUUGCCGUUGAAACUGGGGGGCUUGAGUAUGUGUGAGGCAGGCGGAAUGCGUGGUGUAGCGGUGAAAUGCUUAGAUAUCACGCAGAACCCCGAUUGCGAAGGCAGCCUGCCAAGCCAUGACUGACGCUGAUGCACGAAAGCGUGGGGAUCAAACAGGAUUAGAUACCCUUGUAGUC